GGCUUAGAGUUUGAUCAUGGCUCAGGAUAAACGCUGGCGGCGCACAUAAGACAUGCAAGUCGAACGGACCAAAUUUUAAAAUUUAUUUUAAGAAGAGGUUAGUGGCGGACUGGUGAGUAACGCGUAAGGAACCUGCCUAUCAGAGGGGAAUAACAGUGAGAAAUCAUUGCUAAUACCGCAUAUACUAAAUAAGUUGCAUGACAUAUUUAGGAAAGGAGCAAUCCGCUGAUAGAUGGACUUGCGUCUGAUUAGCUAGUUGGUGAGAUAAAAGCCCACCAAGGCAACGAUCAGUAGCCGGACUGAGAGGUUGAACGGCCACAUUGGGACUGAGAUACGGCCCAGACUCCUACGGGAGGCAGCAGUCGGGAAUAUUGCGCAAUGGAGGAAACUCUGACGCAGUGACGCCGCGUAUAGGAAGAAGGUCUUCGGAUUGUAAACUAUUGUCAUUAGGGAAGAGAAAGGACAGUACCUAAAGAGGAAGCUCCGGCUAACUACGUGCCAGCAGCCGCGGUAAUACGUAGGGAGCAAGCGUUAUCCGGAUUUAUUGGGUGUAAAGGGUGCGUAGACGGGAAUGCAAGUUAGUUUUGAAAUCCCUCGGCUAAGCC
rnacentral:rRNA from 1 species